rnacentral:rRNA from 1 species
UACGUAGGGAGCGAGCGUUGUCCGGAAUUACUGGGCGUAAAGGGCGCGUAGGCGGCCCGUUAAGUCAGGUGUGAAAUACCACGGCUCAACCGUGGGGCUGCAUCUGAAACUGGCGGGCUUGAGGGCAGGAGAGGAGAGCGGAAUUCCUAGUGUAGCGGUGGAAUGCGUAGAUAUUAGGAGGAACACCAGUGGCGAAGGCGGCUCUCUGGACUGCUACUGACGCUGAGGCGCGAAAGCCAGGGGAGCAAACGGG